rnacentral:rRNA from 1 species
GAUGAACGCUAGCGACAGGCUUAACACAUGCAAGUCGAGGGGCAGCACGGGAGUAGCAAUACAACUGGUGGCGACCGGCGCACGGGUGAGUAACGCGUAUGCAACCUACCUAUCAGAGGGGAAUAACCCGGCGAAAGUCGGACUAAUACCGCAUAAAACAGGGGCACCGCAUGGUGAUAUUUGUUAAAGAAAUUCGCUGAUAGAUGGGCAUGCGUUCCAUUAGGUAGUUGGUGAGGUAACGGCUCACCAAGCCGACGAUGGAUAGGGGAACUGAGAGGUUGGUCCCCCACACUGGUAAUGAGAAACGGACCAGACUCCUACGGGAGGCAGCAGUGAGGAAUAUUGGGCAAUGGGCGGGAGCCUGAACCAGCCAAGUCGCGUGAAGGAAGAAGGAUCUAUGGUUCGUAAACUUCUUUUGCAGGGGAAUAAAGUGCAGGACGUGUCCUGUUUUGUAUGUACCCUGAGAAUAAGGAUCGGCUAACUCCGUGCCAGCAGCCGCCGUAAGAC